rnacentral:rRNA from 1 species
AUUGAACGCUGGCGGCAGGCCUAACACAUGCAAGUCGAACGAGUGGCGGACGGGUGAGUAAUGUAUGGGAAACUGCCCGAUGGAGGGGGAUAACUACUGGAAACGGUAGCUAAUACCGCAUACCAUCGGAUGAACCCAGAUGGGAUUAGCUAGUAGGUGGGGUAACGGCUCACCGAGGCGACGAUCACUAGCUGGUCUGAGAGGAUGAACAGCAACACUGGAACUGAGACACGGUCCAGAAUCCGACGGGAGGCAGCAGUGGGGAAUAUUGCACAAUGGGCGCAAGCCUGAUGCAGACAUGCCGCGUGUAUGAAGAAGGCCUUCGGGUUGUAAAGUACUUUCAGCGAGGAGGCGUUACGCGCAGAAGAAGCACCGGCUAACUCCGUGCCAGCAGCCGCGGUAAGUC